GUCAUUUACACAUUGACCAUAAAUGUAUAUAAAUAAAGCAACAAAUUGUGCGGUUGUUUAUUGUUCAAAGUUGAAGCGUGUCGUCAUGAGGUCCAAGGUUUACUUCGCGUUCCUGCUUCUCAUUUUAGGAGUAGCUUUUACUGCUGCAAAUUCUAUCAGAGCGAAUAUUAAAUGUCCAGGUGGGAGGGAACCAACGCUCUCGGGAAGAUGUCCAUUUGAACCAGAAAGCUUUGACGACGAUUACUACUAAGGGAUGAAAAUCACACAAGUAAGACACAUGGUACCUAUCCGCUGAAGACAACGGCAGUGAAACUAUAGAAUAACUUGUAAACAUGUGUCAUUACCAAAUUGUCAAUAAAAAGUUAUGUCGCAGUAAAA